GCCGAGCUCCGGGGCGCCGGCGGAGGAGCCCUGGCAGUCCUGCCGCGCGGGGCGCUGGAAGCGGAGGGGCCGCGGGGAGCGCAGCGCCCGGAGCCCGGCGGUGGCGGCGGCAGCAGCAGCAGCAGCAGCGGACGGAAGGAGCCGAGCUCGCCCCGCGCUCCCCUGAAUGACGGGCGGCAGGUUCGACUUCGACGAUGGCGGCACCUACUGCGGCGGCUGGGAGGAGGGCAAAGCCCACGGGCACGGCAUCUGCACCGGGCCCAAGGGGCAGGGCGAGUACGCGGGCUCCUGGUCCCACGGCUUCGAGGUGGUGGGCGGCUACACCUGGCCCAGCGGCAACACCUACCAGGGCUACUGGGCGCAGGGCAAGCGCCACGGGCUGGGCGUGGAGACCAAGGGCAGGUGGAUGUACCGGGGCGAGUGGUCCCACGGCUUCAAGGGGCGCUACGGGGUGCGGCAGAGCCUCACCACCCCGGCCCGCUACGAGGGCACCUGGAGCAACGGGCUGCAGGACGGCUACGGCGUGGAGACCUACGGGGAUGGAGGUACAUACCAGGGACAGUGGACAGGAGGGAUGCGGCACGGAUAUGGUGUACGUCAAAGUGUACCUUAUGGCAUGGCAACUGUGAUCCGUUCACCCCUCCGAACAUCUCUAGUCUCACUUCGUAGUGAGCAGAGCAAUGGCACUGUUCUGCAUGACAUUACUUCAGACAGCCCAGCUGGAACAAGAGGUGGGUUUGUUUUGAAUUUUCACAGUGAACCGGAAGCCAUGAGUAGUAAGAAAAGAGGAGGCUUGUUCAGAAGAGGAUCCCUUCUUGGUAGUAUAAAACUUAGAAAAUCUGAAUCUAAAUCAUCAAUAUCUAGCAAACGUAGCUCUGUCAGGAGUGAUGCUGCUAUGAGCAGAAUUAGUUCUAGUGAUGCCAACUCUACGAUUAGUUUUGGAGAUGGUGACUGUGAUUAUUGCCCUAUGGAAGACCAUGUUGAUGCCACCACAACAGAAACGUACAUGGGAGAGUGGAAGAAUGACAAGCGCAAUGGUUUUGGUAUUAGUGAGCGUUCAAAUGGUAUGAAAUAUGAAGGAGAAUGGCUAAAUAAUAAAAGGCAUGGAUAUGGAUGCACCAUAUUUCCAGAUGGCACAAAGGAAGAGGGAAAAUAUAAAAAUAAUGUUUUGGUCCGUGGAAUAAGAAAGCAACUUAUACCAAUAAGAAACACCAAAACUAAAGAAAAAGUGGAUAGAGCCAUAGAGGGUGCACAAAGGGCAGCUGCUAUGGCAAGAACCAAAGUGGAAAUUGCAUCUUCAAGAACUGCACAUGCAAGAGCUAAAGCUGAUGCUGCGGAUCAGGCUGCUCAGGCUGCUCGCCAGGAAAGUGAUAUUGCAAGAGCAGUUGCCAGAGAACUGUCACCAAGUUUCUACCAACCAGGCCCUGAUUAUAUCAAACAACGAUUUCAAGAAAGUGUGGAGGUAAAAGAAAACCCUGAAGAAAAGGUUCAAGAAAAAGCACCUUCCCCCAAAGAGUCUCCGCAUUUUUAUCGAAAAGGCACCACACCCCCUGGGACACCUGAAGCAAGCCCAAAGCACAGUUCUCCUCUUCCAUCUGAGCCUUCCCCUACCAAACAAUUGAAAAGACAAAACUCCAGCUCAAAGGCAAGACUCACUCAAGAAAAAAAGAGUUUAGCUAGUGAGACUGUAACAGCCGUGGUCAACAAGCCUCUGUAUUCAAAAGUACCCGUAAAGGAGGAGAUAGCGGUGAAACAUCAGCCAAAGUUUUCAGCCCACCACAAUCCCAUCAGCACAGAGAAUGGGGAACUGCAUGGUCAUUACCAUGGCUACUACGUAAAAAUGAAUCCAGCACUGCUUCCACAUGAGCUCAGGGAGGAGGAUGAAGAUGUCAACCCAUCACCUUCAGCACUCUCACGGAUAUCAACUCCACAGAAGCCAAGUCCUGCCAGAUCUGUUACUAAUCCAGAUGCCAAAGAAAGCAAAUCUGAUACAAAAGUAAAGAAACCUGAACUUGCUGCACCAAAGAAUCCCGCUAAUAAUGAGUCCCAUUCUUCAGCAGAAAAAGAAGUGGAAAUCCAUUUGCCAAACUACCUGCAGAGGGAAGGGAAAGAGGAAAUUCCAGUGAGAGUACUGCCAGUGCCAGGGCGUAUUAUUUUACAUAACAGUUAUAUUUUCUACUUUAAAAGAGGUUGGAGUCUAUGAAGAGGCCCGAACUAGGGAAGAGGGUCCUAACUCAGUCAUGAUUGCCCUGGUAAUGCUGUUGAAUAUUGGUUUAGCCAUUCUUUUUGUCCAUUUUCUAACUUGACUGGAAUUAGAGAAGUGAAGUCAUGACAACUAGUGGUGUUAGCCCACAAUUCUCUGCAGUUGUCUCAUCAGCCUUUUAAAUGGCACCAGUCGUACUCAGACACAGGGAAGGAGGCUUGGAAUUAGGAUGGGACGCAAGAGAGAUGACACUUGGAAAAUUCAGCCAGGGGCUUGAUCAGUUUCUCUGCUGAUGAUUUGUGGCUUUUGGGGUCCUCUGGAAGCUGAAGCAGCCAUGUUGGAAAACAACAACAAAAAUCUGCUGAAACAGCCCAACCAGUGAAGUGCAUUGGCUACUCCAUCUGUUCCAGCAGUGUGUGACUAAACUGGAAAUGUACGGAGCUGCACUUUUUGUUGAUGGAAGCUAACAGCUGCCUUAUUAUUUUACCGUCUGAUGUUUUUAGUAGGGAGAUCGGAAAACGACUGCCAGAGGAAUGUGGUCAGAGGAUUCAGUUGCUGUGGAAGUGAUUCCAGCGUUCACUCCAAUCUCAUUAGAAGAAAUAGUUAGCAGCAUCACUCACCAGUCUUAUUCCAUUACCUGCUGCUUUUAACAUCUCCUGCAAUGGUCAGGGAGAUUGAAUUUCAUUUGCUAGUGCAUGAUUCUGUUUUCGCUGUUGUUUAAACCUGAUGUAUAGCCAUAAUAUAGUAUGUAGAGCAACCUGGAGAAAUGUACUAGUUGCAUCUAGCAGCAGAAGCUAAAAUCUGUUAUACAUAUAUAUAUUUUUUUAUCUGAAGGUACAAUUCUUGAAACUUGUUUUCCUAAAUUAUUACAGUUUAGCAGGUAAUAUACAGUAAUGGCAAAGUUUUAAGCUAUCCUUUAUUGCUUCCAAAAAUGCUCAAAUGCUUGUGUCAAUAGCAAGCCAAUUUAUAAUACCGUGAGAAUCUUCAGGCAGUACCAGUACAUUAGAAAAAGGAGGCAGAAUAUCUUGAGAAAUAGGAUUCAAGUGUUGUAUGGUUUUUCUCCGACACCAGUGUUGUGGUAAUCAGUAAUUUGAAUGAUUAUAUUUUAAUAUUGGGAUUUUUGCCAGCAGUUAAAGACAAGUCUUGUCCAAAUGGACAGUAAUGCCAAUAAAAGCUAAGCUAGUUACUACAUUCAAAAUUAUUAUUAAUUUUAAAAUACUAGCUUUGUGUUGAAUACAUUCAGGUAGAGCAUUUAGAUCCAUUAAAAUGAUUGUUUAUCAAUUUGAUUCCUUUAUGUCUUUAAAGUCUGUAUAUAAUUUUACCUCAACAACAACAACAACAAAAGAAAGCCACAGAAAUUGUCAUUUGGAACAUUUGUCUUAAGUUGUUUUACAGUCCUAUGUUAUGCUGAUGUGAUCAAUGUUUUUUCAUGUGCCAUUACACUGUAAUUACUGUACCCUAUAUUACUCAAAAGCAUGCUUCUUUACUUACAGAAGUUUAUGUGGUGUGAUCAUUUUAAAUUAAAAUAUUUACUUUCAAAUCAAAAAUAGAAAAGGGCUUGGAAUAUGGUUUAUUUUAUCUCUAUUAGAAAAGAUUUCAUAAUUUUUAGUUUUUGAACAUGUUUGUAAACUUUAUAAUUGCUUGCAUGGUUUAAUGGAAAAGUUUCUUAAAAGCUACAUUAGGUAUCUUUUGAUGCAGCACAUAAAGUAACAUAGGUAUGGAAUGAAUAUUGUGUAGCCUGAUACAGCUCAGUGCAGGGCAAUAACACGGUGUUUUAUGCAGAAGCAUGUUGCGAAUCCUGUGGUUUGACCAGUGUGGAAGAAAGCAGACAGAGAGCAAAUGAAGAUAACUGGUAUAUUUAUUCAUUUUUAAAAAUAAGUAAAAUCAUGUUUUAUUUUUAAAUUUAAGAAAGUAAUUUUAAAUGAGAACAAAUUUUAAAGUUCCUGUAAGCCUUGAUGUAAGGAUAAAUGCUCCUGCCCCCACCCCAUGUCUCCUUACAAAAAGAACUAAUUUUGUAACUGACAUUUAAUUCUUAUUCAAUGUUUAUUUAAAAUACUUUAUGCUCUGAAAAUAAUGGGGUAACAAUCAGCUUCUGAAAAUGUUUAUAAAUUUAAGCAUGUUAGUACAAUUUAUAAAUAUGUAUGAUUUAUAAGCUUUUCUAAAACAAAGCUCAAAAAUUGUUGGUAUUUUUCUAAAAUGUGCACAGCUGUAUUUUACAUGAAAGGCUAUUUAUAAUUAGUUGUUAUACUGUACACUACAUUUCGGACAGCACAUGAAGCCUGCCAAUGUACUUAAUAAUGUCACUUUGUCUAUUUAAAUUUUCUUGCUGUGAAAAAAAUGAACUCUUUAUGUAGGAGUUUCUCUAUUUAUAAAAGUCUUGAACCCAAAAUGUAUAACGUACAGUUUCCACAACUGUAUUUGCUCUAAUAAAAAGUUGGUUAUUAAGAGUU